GAUGAACGCUGGCGGCGUGCCUAAUACAUGCAAGUCGAGCGAACAGACGAGGAGCUUGCUCCUCUGACGUUAGCGGCGGACGGGUGAGUAACACGUGGAUAACCUACCUAUAAGACUGGGAUAACUUCGGGAAACCGGAGCUAAUACCGGAUAAUAUAUUGAACCGCAUGGUUCAAUAGUGAAAGACGGUUUUGCUGUCACUUAUAGAUGGAUCCGCGCCGCAUUAGCUAGUUGGUAAGGUAACGGCUUACCAAGGCAACAAUGCGUAGCCGACCUGAGAGGAUGAUCGGCCACACUGGAACUGAGACACGGUCCAGACUCCUACGGGAGGCAGCAGUAGGGAAUCUUCCGCAAUGGGCGAAAGCCUGACGGAGCAACGCCGCGUGAGUGAUGAAGGUCUUCGGAUCGUAAAACUCUGUUAUUAGGGAAGAACAAAUGUGUAAGUAACUAUGCACGUCUUGACGGUACCUAAUCAGAAAGCCACGGCUAACUACGUG
rnacentral:rRNA from 1 species